rnacentral:rRNA from 1 species
GCAAGUCGAGCGCGGGAAGCAGGCAGAUCCUCUUCGGAGGUGACGCCUGUGGAACGAGCGGCGGACGGGUGAGUAACACGUGGGCAACCUGCCUGUAAGACUGGGAUAACCCCGGGAAACCGGGGCUAAUACCGGAUAAUACUUUUCGUUGCAUAACGAGAAGUUGAAAGGCGGCUUUUAGCUGUCACUUACAGAUGGGCCCGCGGCGCAUUAGCUAGUUGGUAAGGUAACGGCUUACCAAGGCGACGAUGCGUAGCCGACCUGAGAGGGUGAUCGGCCACACUGGGACUGAGACACGGCCCAGACUCCUACGGGAGGCAGCAGUAGGGAAUCUUCCGCAAUGGACGAAAGUCUGACGGAGCAACGCCGCGUGAGUGAUGAAGGUUUUCGGAUCGUAAAACUCUGUUGUCAGGGAAGAACAAGUGCCGUUCAAAUAGGGCGGCACCUUGACGGUACCUGACCAGAAAGCCCCGGCUAACUACGUGCCAGCAGCCGCGGUAAUACGUAGGGGGCAAGCGUUGUCCGGAAUUAUUGGGCGUAAAGCGCGCGCAGGCGGUCCUUUAAGUCUGAUGUGAAAGCCCACGGCUUAACCGUGGAGGGCCAUUGGAAACUGGAGGACUUGAGUACAGAAGAGGAGAGUGGAAUUCCACGUGUAGCGGUGAAAUGCGUAGAGAUGUGGAGGAACACCAGUGGCGAAGGCGACUCUCUGGUCUGUAACUGACGCUGAGGUGCGAAAGCGUGGGGAGCGAACAGGAUUAGAUACCCUGGUAGUCCACGCCGUAAACGAUGAGUGCUAGGUGUUAGGGGGGUUUCCGCCCCUUAGUGCUGAAGUUAACGCAUUAAGCACUCCGCCUGGGGAGUACGGCCGCAAGGCUGAAACUCAAAAGAAUUGACGGGGGCCCGCACAAGCGGUGGAGCAUGUGGUUUAAUUCGAAGCAACGCGAAGAACCUUACCAGGUCUUGACAUCCUCUGACAAUCCUAGAGAUAGGAUGUUCCC